GAGGGUAUGGCUCAGUGGUAGAGCACGGGCUUAGUAUGCAUUAGAUCCUGUGUUCAAUCCCUAGUACCUCCC
rnacentral:tRNA from 1 species